AAAAUGGAUUAAAAACUAGCCGUUGUGAAAAAAUCCUAUCACAGGGGUCGACUCAUGAGUCGACUCAUGCCUGGGGGUCGACUCAUGGGUCGACCUCUGUGGAAAAUCAUCACAGAAUCGAACGGGAUCCAAGGUUCUGUAAAAUUGGCUUAAAACCCGUAGAGGUCAACUCAUGAGUCGACUCAUGCCUUGGGGGUUGACUCAUGGGUCGACUCACAGGUUGUGCCAAGUCUGUGUCGGCC
rnacentral:lncRNA from 1 species